CAGAACGAACGCUGGCGGCGUGCUUAACACAUGCAAGUCGAACGCGAAAGGGACUUCGGUCCUGAGUAAAGUGGCGCACGGGUGAGUAACGCGUAGAUAACCUGUCUUCAUGUCUGGAAUAAUACGCCGAAAGGGGUACUAAUACCGGAUAUUCUUGCUUUUCAUAAGUUAUGCAAGCAAAGGUGGCCUCUGCAUAUGCUACUGCAUGAAGAGGGGUCUGCGUACCAUUAGCUAGUAGGUGGGGUAAUGGCCUACCUAGGCGACGAUGGUUAGCGGGUCUGAGAGGAUGAUCCGCCACACUGGCACUGGAACACGGGCCAGACUCCUACGGGAGGCAGCAGUGAGGAAUAUUGCGCAAUGGGGGAAACCCUGACGCAGCGACGCCGCGUGAGUGAAGGAAGGCCUUCGGGUCGUAAAGCUCUGUCAAGAGGAAAGAAGUGUACAAUGGCUAAUACCUGUUGUAUUUGACGGUACCUCUAAAGGAAGCACCGGCUAACUCCGUGCCAGCAGCCGC
rnacentral:rRNA from 1 species